rnacentral:sRNA from 1 species
GUAAGAAGCUUCGACUAAGGUUCGACUCGAGCGCCAGCGAGAGAACGUUGCCGCAGGCAACGGCCCGAAGGGCGAGGCGCUUUAGCGCCGAGUAAUCCUUCCCCCACCACCA